AAUUUAUAUACAUAAGAUCUAAUCUAGAUUAUCAUGUCAAGAUCUCUAAUAUGAUUUAACAUAUACUUUAAGAUCUAAAAAUAAAAACUGCAUCGAUCUAAUCAAUGCUACAAUCUAGAUCUAACCCUUAGAUCUAUCACAAACAAUGAAAUAAGUUCGGGAACCAUUACCGAACUGUAAGCUGAUGAUCUUUAUUGGUCCAACACUUGAAAAGGCUUCAGAUUGCUCAUAGCUACACAAAGACGUCUGGCCUCUACAGAACAUCCACACGAAGACUGACGC
rnacentral:lncRNA from 1 species